rnacentral:rRNA from 1 species
AACGAACGCUGGCGGCAUGCCUAACACAUGCAAGUCGAACGAGACCUUCGGGUCUAGUGGCGCACGGGUGCGUAACGCGUGGUAACCUGCCCUUAGGUUCGGAAUAACUCCCCGAAAGGGGUGCUAAUACCGGAUAAUUUCUUCGGACCAAAGAUUUAUCGCCUUUGGAUGGGCCCGCGUUGGAUUAGCUAGUUGGUAGGGUAAAAGCCUACCAAGGCGACGAUCCAUAGCUGGUCUGAGAGGAUGAUCAGCCACACUGGGACUGAGACACGGCCCAGACUCCUACGGGAGGCAGCAGUGGGGAAUAUUGGACAAUGGGCGAAAGCCUGAUCCAGCAAUGCCGCGUGAGUGAUGAAGGCCUUAGGGUUGUAAAGCUCUUUUACCCGGGAUGAUAAUGACAGUACCGGGAGAAUAAGCUCCGGCUAACUCCGUG